CUCCAGCCCCAACAACACUCGGUGGUUAGCACGCUUGCGUUGUGCUCCGCGGUAGCAUUCCUUCCCGCCGGUGCGUGCGCCGCACCUACCGAUGAAUCCAGCGCCCCUGCGCAAGGGCGCGGCGGCACCGAAAUGCUUUUCGACCAAACGGAUCAACGAUGUCUCCAAGAAGCUCAGUUUACUACAAAUGAGAUAGCGGCAGUAGUAGAGGUCCGCAUGCGAGCUACGGCUGAAGUGGGAUUCCAGGACGCG